AGAGGGGGCAAGCGUUGUUCGGAAUUACUGGGCGUAAAGGGCGCGUAGGCGGCCUGUUAAGUCGAACGUGAAAUCCCCGGGCUCAACCCGGGAACUGCGUCCGAAACUGACAGGCUCGAAUCCGGGAGAGGGAUGCGGAAUUCCAGGUGUAGCGGUGAAAUGCGUAGAUAUCUGGAGGAACAUCGGUGGCGAAGGCGGCAUCCUGGACCGGUAUUGACGCUGAGGCGCGAAAGCCAGGGGAGCAAACGGGAUUAGAUACCCCGGUAGUCCUGGCCCUAAACGAUGAAUGCUUGGUGUGGCGGGUAUCGAUCCCUGCCGUGCCGAAGCUAACGCAUUAAGCAUUCCGCCUGGGGAGUACGGUCGCAAGGCUGAA
rnacentral:rRNA from 1 species